rnacentral:rRNA from 1 species
CCUACGGGGGGCAGCAGUGAGGAAUAUUGGUCAAUGGACGAGAGUCUGAACCAGCCAAGUAGCGUGAAGGAUGACUGCCCUAUGGGUUGUAAACUUCUUUUAUAAAGGAAUAAAACGAGGCACGUGUGCCUUGUUGCAUGUACUUUAUGAAUAAGGAUCGGCUAACUCCGUGCCAGCAGCCGCGGUAAUACGGGGGAUCCGAGCGUUAUCCGGAUUUAUUGGGUUUAAAGGGAGCGUAGAUGGGUUGUUAAGUCAGUUGUGAAAGUUUGCGGCUCAACCGUAAAAUUGCAAUUGAUACUGGCAGUCUUGAGUACAGUUGAGGUAAGCGGAAUUCGUGGUGUAGCGGUGAAAUGCUUAGAUAUCACGAAGAACCCCGAUUGCGAAGGCAGCUUACUAAACUGUGACUGACAUUGAUGCUCGAAAGUGUGGGUAUCAAACAGGAUUAGAUACCCGUGUAGUC